UUUACAUCAUAAAUAAAUAUGGCUGAGUUGCGAGAGCCGAGUCUGCGUGGUAGAGCAACGCAAAGUUUUGGCGCGCGUUCUUCGCUCAGACACGUUGUUCCUAAAUUCGCAACAGUGACGUCAGAGGCCAGAAAUUGAGCCAAUACACACGAGAUCAUAAACCAGCAUGAGAAGCGACAAUUACAACUAAUAUUGACAGCAAGUCUUGCCUUAUGGCUAAUAUGGAUGAAAAACUAUUUAAGAAUGUCUUUUCCCAAAAAGUAUUCGGCUAAACUGGUUUCCCUCCCCAUCUACGCUGGAGAAUAUUUCCUUUUCGUCUAAGAUACAAACACGAAUAAUCGGUAAAUUUUAAAAAUGUUCUCUACUGUGUUCAGAAAAGUAUUGUGUGUAUCAUCCAAAAAUUAGUUUAUUUUUAUAAAUAAGCGUUAUAGCUCUUAAAAUUUAUA